rnacentral:rRNA from 1 species
CCUACGGGAGGCAGCAGUGAGGAAUAUUGGUCAAUGGGCGGGAGCCUGAACCAGCCAAGUCGCGUGAGGGAAGACGGUCCUAUGGAUUGUACACCUCUUUAGGCGGGGAGCAAUGCCGGGCACGCGUGCCCGGAGGGAGAGUACCCGCAGAAUAAGCAUCGGCUAACUCCGUGCCAGCAGCCGCGGUAAUACGGAGGAUGCGAGCGUUAUCCGGAUUUCUUGGGUUUACAGGGUGCGUAGGCGGAUUUUUAAGUCAGCGGUAAAAUGUCCGGGCUCAACCCGGGCCGGCCGUUGAAACUGGGGAUCUUGAGUGGGCGAGGAGUAUGCGGAAUGCGUGGUGUAGCGGUGAAAUGCAUAGAUAUCACGCAGAACUCCGAUUGCGAAGGCAGCAUACCGGCGCCCAACUGACGCUGAAGCACGAAAGCGUGGGUAUCGAACAGGAUUAGAUACCCCAGUAGUC